ensembl:lncRNA
GUUUACUCUUGUUUUUCUGGUUUUGUUUUGGUGCAGCAAAUCAGGUGUAUAGCCUAGAUUUUUGUUGUUUUGAUUGUGUGUCUUAAGAAGCCAUGUGUAACUUACUGAGUUCUACCUACUUUAUUCUAUUAUUUUAUGUUAAUUCAUAAAAUUAUUUAUUGCAGCUUUGCAAUGUCAUUGAGGUAUAAUGUGACUUUUCUAUUUAUACACUGGGAUUAUUUAAUUUAAUUGAAAUAUUUGCACCAAGUUGCACUUUUAUUUCUAACAUUUGAAUGGUGCAGCUGGGUCUAUUGUGUUUACAAAUGCUGUCAAAAGCGAUGUGAGCUUUAAGUUUUUUAUAAAGCCACAGCAGUUACACAUAACUUCAGUUGUUGGGUGGGUAGGUGGGUGGGUAGGUGGGCAGGUGGGUAGGUAGGUAGGUAGGUGGGUAAGUAGGUAGGUAGGUGGGUAGAUGGGUAGGUAGGUAGGUAGGUAGGUAGGUAGGUAGGUAGGUAGGUAGGUAGGUGGGUAGGUAGAUAGGUAGGUAGGUAGGUGGGUAGGUAGAUAGGUAGGUAGAUAGGUAGGUAGGUAGGUAGGUAGGUAGAUGGGUAGGUAGGUAGGUAGGUGGGUGGGUAGGUAGGUAGGUGGGUAGGUAGGUAGGUAGAUGGGUAGGUAGGUAGGUAGAUGGGUGGGUAGGUAGGUAGGUAGGUAGGUAGAUAGGUAGGUAGGUAGGUAGGUGGGUGGGUAGGUAGGUAGGUAGGUGGGUGGGUAGGUAGGUAGGUAGGUGGGUAGGUAGGUACGUAGGUGGGUAGGUAGGUCUAAACCUCCAGAUGAACCUGGUUCACAGUUUCAUAUAUUAUAGUCUGAUUUAUUCCACAAACCUUUAUCAGAUUUUAAAAUGUAUUUUACCAAUAACUUAGAGAAUAAUUUGAUAAAUUCAGGGAAUCACAGACACUCUGUUCAGUGAAACUGCUGCACUUCCACAGGUUGACCAGCAGGUGUCUCUAUUGCUAAAAUUCACAUCAAUAUAAACUCACAUUAUCAUCUUUAUUUUAUGCAAGAAACAAACUCAGAAGCAAAAUCUUUUUCUGUUUUUCAUCAUGCUCACUUGAAGUCCAGAUUCUCUUUAAAUCUUUGAGAAUGUCAAGGAGCUCAUGAUGUUUGGGUUGGAGAGGAUGUAUCAUGAUGUGAAGCAUGGUGGUGGCAGCAUCAUAUGUAGUUGUGUUAAUCUCGUCUGUUUUCCCGACUCCUUUUCAACUCUCUCAGAUUGUUGAGCAGCUCGUGAUAUUCAGGUGUGUUGGUGGAGAAAAGUUUUCCUUCAUUCAGCCAACUGUUGAGUCUUUCUUUUCCCUGCCGGUCGAUCACUCCCAUCUCAGAGUAUUUUUCCACCAGCAGUUUGUCUCCGAUGUGAUGGUAAUGCCGAGUCGCCUCUUUGGAGAUCACGUCCCGUCUUCUGCCUCGCGGGGGGAGUCCUGAACCAAUCGGAUUCAGAGAUUGCACACAGAAUAUUGCAUUAAUUUAACAUCAGAGUCCUGAGAAAACAUUGACUUCCUGUCACAGAGACAGAACAGGACUGGUGUUGAGGAGUGCUGAUCCAUUAAACACAGAAAUCUGUUCACUGUCUGAACCACUGUUCUUUAAACAUCUCCACAAUGACAACACUUAUCAGCCUGAAACCAUAAAAACAGAAAGAAUCUUCUGAUUUUCUGUUUUCAGAUGGUCGUCCAAUCAUCGCUGAUGUUUGGUCCUUCAGGAAAAUCCACCAACUCUGAGCUUAGAAUCAGGAUAUUUCACCAGACGGUUCUGUCCUGGCUGGUUGGAAUAACUGUCAUUCAUCUACAGGACUGUAAAAAGUGUUGACCCAGCUGGAUGUUUCUCCUUUUAUUGCUUUUCAACACUGAAUCAUUCAUAGUAAAACAGAUUUCUACAAAGUUAAUGUUCAAAAUAAAAUGUAAAAUAAAUGACAAGUAUGAACCCUCUUUGAAGACACUCUAAUGCAGUGUCUUUAAUAAGUAGCUCGCCAAGCAAAUUGAACAUGUAAGAAAAUAAUAAUAGAGAAAGAAAGAAAAUAGAAAGAAUCGAACUUUAUCUACUCACUACAACUCUAUACCUAUCCCAACUCCCCUCCCCCAAUAUCAGCCAAUCACAUUCAUGUUUAUGACUCCAUUACCUGCCCUAAUGAGCAGCAGCUACAGCCGGCGGCUAUUGUUGUCCAACCUAAUGUGAGUGGAACUAUCGUUAGAAAUUAAGAUUUUAUUUUACUGUUAUUAAAGCUUGUGUGCCAUUUGGACAUAAAACAAUGAGUGAACAGGGUCCAUCAAAAAAACCAGAAGGCCGACCAUUUCCAUCAAGAGUGGGACACCUACUAUUUCUUCACAAGUGUGAAAGACAGGUGUGUGUGCUUGAUUUGAGGGACCAGCAUUGCAGUCGGGAAGAAAG